GAUGAACGCUGGCGGCGUGCCUAAUACAUGCAAGUCGAGCGAACAGACGAGGAGCUUGCUCCUCUGACGUUAGCGGCGGACGGGUGAGUAACACGUGGAUAACCUACCUAUAAGACUGGGAUAACUUCGGGAAACCGGAGCUAAUACCGGAUAAUAUAUUGAACCGCAUGGUUCAAUAGUGAAAGACGGUUUUGCUGUCACUUAUAGAUGGAUCCGCGCCGCAUUAGCUAGUUGGUAAGGUAACGGCUUACCAAGGCAACGAUGCGUAGCCGACCUGAGAGGGUGAUCGGCCACACUGGAACUGAGACACGGUCCAGACUCCUACGGGAGGCAGCAGUAGGGAAUCUUCCGCAAUGGGCGAAAGCCUGACGGAGCAACGCCGCGUGAGUGAUGAAGGUCUUCGGAUCGUAAAACUCUGUUAUUAGGGAAGAACAAAUGUGUAAGUAACUAUGCACGUCUUGACGGUACCUAAUCAGAAAGCCACGGCUAACUACGUGCCAGCAGCCGCGGUAAUACGUAGGUGGCAAGCGUUAUCCGGAAUUAUUGGGCGUAAAGCGCGCGUAGGCGGUUUUUUAAGUCUGAUGUGAAAAGCCCACGGCUCACCCGUGGAGGGUCAUUGGAAACUGGAAAACUUGAGUGCAGAAGAGGAAAGUGGAAUUCCAUGUGUAGCGGUGAAAUGCGCAGAGAUAUGGAGGAACUCCAGUGGCGAAGGUGACUUUUUGGUCUGUAACUGACGUAGAUGUGUGAAAGCGUGGGGAUUCAAACAGGAUUAGAUACCCUGGUAGUCCACGCCGUAAACGAUGAGUGCUAAGUGUUAGGGGGUUUCCGCCCCUUAGUGCUGCAGCUAACGCAUUAAGCACUCCGCCUGGGGAGUACGACCGCAAGGUUGAAACUCAAAGGAAUUGACGGGGACCCGCACAAGCGGUGGAGCAUGUGGUUUAAUUCGAAGCAACGCGAAGAACCUUACCAAAUCUUGACAUCCUCUGACCCCUCUAGAGAUAGAGUUUUCCCCUUCGGGGGACAGAGUGACAGGUGGUGCAUGGUUGUCGUCAGCUCGUGUCGUGAGAUGUUGGGUUAAGUCCCGCAACGAGCGCAACCCUUAAGCUUAGUUGCCAUCAUUAAGUUGGGCACUUUAAGUUGACUGCCGGUGACAAACCGGAGGAAGGUGGGGAUGACGUCAAAUCAUCAUGCCCCUUAUGAUUUGGGCUACACACGUGCUACAAUGGACAAUACAAAGGGCAGCGAAACCGCGAGGUCAAGCAAAUCCCAUAAAGUUGUUCUCAGUUCGGAUUGUAGUCUGCAAAUC
rnacentral:rRNA from 1 species